GAGAAAAAUAAAAUAAAAAUCCAACCCCCUGGGUAGCUGUCUUAAUUCUAAAGGAACACACAUUUCACAAGGUAGGGCUUCUGUGCUUGUAACACGCUUCAUGCCAAAAGGACAUUCUUCUUCACGCAGAAGUACUUUGUGAAACACAAAACGAUGGAAUUUGCUCCCACAGGAGGCAGUGAUGGCCACCAAUUUGGAUAGCUUUCAAAGAGGAUUAGACAAAUUCUAAUAAGGCAACCACGAAAUUCAUGUGAAAGUAGUCUCCUAGGAAAACUGACCAUGGAAAAUUGAGUAUAAAGAGCAAUAAAAGAAUGUUCUGCUGUCACAUAAAAAUCCACAGGAGGAUUUACAUCUUGCCUGAAAAAAGAAGUUCCUUCCAAAGGGAUCUUCACUUUGGGCAAAGGACAGACUGAGUCAGAACAUAAGUACUGAGAAUCCUCAUGUACAUCAAGGGACCACAAGUUCCCUGUGGUAGAAGAAGAAUCUUCUGUUGAUUGAUGAUGAUUCUCCAACAUAGAUCCUGAAAUUGCUGUGAAUGUGCAAUCAGCUGUGAGAGCUCACAAAACAUGACAUGGCUGGCAAUU